CCUGGUUCCGGUUCCUUGUUCUGAUUCCUGUUUUGUGGCAGUGCUCCUAUUCUGGAGUGGAUCUCCAUUCCAGGCUGGUGGAUCCUCUGCAGGAGACCUCUCCAAAGGAAUUAAAGUAGUUUGAGUUGGCAUUGCAAGCCACGAACUAGCCUCCUGCUAAUUUAUCAAAGGCUAAAGACGGGGAAUCCUUGCCUCCGGUAAGUCAAGUGGACUUAGUUGCAGGUUCCUAGCU